UACAGAGGUCCCGAGCGUUGUUCGGAUUCAUUGGGCGUAAAGGGUGCGCAGGCGGCGGGGUAAGUCUGAUGUGAAAUCCCGGAGCUCAACUCCGGAACUGCACUGGAUACUGCUCCGCUAGAGUACUGGAGAGGAAACUGGAAUUUACGGUGUAGCAGUGAAAUGCUUAGAUAUGACACAGAACACCGAUUGCGAAGGCAGCUCGCUAAGCCAUAACUGACGCUGAUGCACGAAAGCGUGGGGAGCAAACAGG
rnacentral:rRNA from 1 species